AUUGAACGCUGGCGGCAUGCCUUACACAUGCAAGUCGAACGGCAGCACGGGUGCUUGCACCUGGUGGCGAGUGGCGAACGGGUGAGUAAUACAUCGGAACAUGUCCUGUAGUGGGGGAUAGCCCGGCGAAAGCCGCAUUAAUACCGCAUACGAUCUACGGAUGAAAGCGGGGGACCUUCGGGCCUCGCGCUAUCGGGUUGACCGAUGGCUGAUUAGCUAGUUGGUGGGGUAAAGGCCUACCAAGGCGACGAUCAGUAGCUGGUCUGAGAGGACGACCAGCCACACUGGGACUGAGACACGGCCCAGACUCCUACGGGAGGCAGCAGUGGGGAAUUUUGGACAAUGGGCGAAAGCCUGAUCCAGCAAUGCCGCGUGUGUGAAGAAGGCCUUCGGGUUGUAAAGCACUUUUGUCCGGAAAGAAAUCCUUGGCCCUAAUACGGUCGGAGGAUGACGGUACCGGAAGAAUAAGCACCGGCUAACUACGUG
rnacentral:rRNA from 1 species